rnacentral:rRNA from 1 species
AUUGAACGCUGGCGGCAUGCUUUACACAUGCAAGUCGAACGGUAACAGGCCUUCGGGUGCUGACGAGUGGCGAACGGGUGAGUAAUGCAUCGGUACGUGCCCAGAGGUGGGGGAUAACGCAGCGAAAGCUGUGCUAAUACCGCAUGUGAUCUGAGGAUGAAAGCGGGGGACCAGGCAGCAAUGUUUGGCCUCGCGCCUUUGGAGCGGCCGAUGUCAGAUUAGGUAGUUGGGGGGGUAAAGGCCUACCAAGCCGACGAUCUGUAGCUGGUCUGAGAGGACGACCAGCCACACUGGGACUGAGACACGGCCCAGACUCCUACGGGAGGCAGCAGUGGGGAAUUUUGGACAAUGGGCGCAAGCCUGAUCCAGCAAUGCCGCGUGCGGGAAGAAGGCCUUCGGGUUGUAAACCGCUUUUGUACGGAACGAAAAGGCUCUGGCUAAUACCUGGGGCUGAUGACGGUACCGUAAGAAUAAGCACCGGCUAACUACGUG